GUGGGGAAUAUUGGACAAUGGGCGCAAGCCUGAUCCAGCCAUGCCGCGUGUGUGAAGAAGGCCUUCGGGUUGUAAAGCACUUUUGUCCGGGAAGAAAUCUUCCAGGUUAAUACCCUGGGAGGCUGACGGUACCGGAAGAAUAAGCACCGGCUAACUUCGUGCCAGCAGCCGCGGUAAUACGAAGGGUGCAAGCGUUACUCGGAAUUACUGGGCGUAAAGCGUGCGUAGGUGGUUCGUUAAGUCUGCCGUGAAAGCCCCGGGCUCAACCUGGGAAUGGCGGUGGAUACUGGCGGGCUAGAGUGCGGUAGAGGGUGGUGGAAUUCCCGGUGUAGCAGUGAAAUGCGUAGAGAUCGGGAGGAACAUCUGUGGCGAAGGCGGCCACCUGGACCAGCACUGACACUGAGGCACGAAAGCGUGGGGAGCAAACAGGAUUAGAUACCCUAGUAGUCC
rnacentral:rRNA from 1 species